rnacentral:lncRNA from 1 species
CAUGGCCUAGGCUUGGUGGACUACCCGGGAGGAUGACCUAGGAGGAAGACCUGGGUGGACGCUUGGAAAGACAACCUAGGUGGACGACCUGGGACGACGACCUGCAUAAAUGACUUGAGUGGACGGCCUGGGAGGACGGUUGGGGAGGAUGACCUGAGAGGACGAUCUGGAUGGAUGGCCUGGGUGGACGACUUGGAUGAAUGACCUGGGAGACUGGCCUAGAAGGACGACCAAUGUAGAUUAUCUGAGAGGACAUUUAGAUAAACAACUUGAAUAUUCGACCUAGGUGAUACUUGGCCCUCGGCUAGACCGUACAAUACAAUGUUAGAUGAAGAAGAAUGGAAAUAAAAGAUGAACAUGAAGAAGGUUAAAUACUCAGAAGAGGUAAAUGAUGUUGGAUAAAGAAGGUAAAAAAUGAUACAGAUGGAGGUCGAAGAAGAUAGGGAUAAAAUAGUCCUUUUAAUUAACCUAUGGAGGUGUAGGAAGAAAGUACAAAGGUGGAGGAAGAAGCACCAAAAACACCCAUCAUAGUGUAGCCCAAUCAUGCCUCUACGGGCUCUUUCAACAUUAUUAGAUGUCCCGCAAAAAAUAAAG